rnacentral:rRNA from 1 species
AGAGUUUGAUCCUGGCUCAGGAUGAACGCUAGCGGCAGGCCUCAUACAUGCAAGUCGAGGGGCAGCAUGACACUUCGGUGUUGGCGGCGACCAGCGAACGGGUGCGUAACACGUAUACAAGCUGCCUUGCACUGGGGCAUAGCUUUCGGAAACAGAAAUUAAUACCCCAUAUGAUGCUAGCAACACAUGUUGCAGGCAUGAAAGCUCCGGCGGUGCAAGAUGCGUAUGCGUCCUAUUAUCUAGUUGGUGAGGUAAUAGCUCACCAAGGCAACAAUGGGUAGGGGUUUUGAGAGGAAGAUCCCCCACACUGGCACUGAGAUACGGGCCAGACUCCUACGGGAGGCAGCAGUAAGGAAUAUUGGUCAAUGGGCGCAAGCCUGAACCAGCCAUGCCGCGUGCAAGAUGAAGGCCCUCUGGGUCGUAAAUUGCUUUUUUAUAGGAACAAAAGACUUCUGCGGAAGGCAUUGAGGGGUACUGUAAGAAUAAGCACCGGCUAACUCCGUGCCAGCAGCCGCGGUAAUACGGAGGGUGCAAGCGUUUUCCGGAAUUUUUGGGGUUUAAAGGGUGGGUUAGGCGGGCUUUUAAGUCAGUGGGGAAAUCCUGCCGCUUAACGGUAGCAUGGCCAUUGAAACUGAAACGCUUGAGUUAAGAAGAAGUAAGCAGAAUUUAUAGAGUAGCGGUGAAAUGCUUAGAUACUAUAAGGAAUUCCAAUAGCGAAGGCAGCUUACUGGUCUUUAACUGACGCUGAGGCACGAAAGCGUGGGGAGCGAACAGGAUUAGAUACCCUGGUAGUCCACGCCGUAAACGAUGAUUACUCGAUAUACACAUUAAUGUGUGUGUCCAAGCGAAAGCAUUAAGUAAUCCACCUGGGAAAGUACCCGGCCAAGCGUGAACUCAAAGGAAUUGACGGGGUCCGCCCAAGCGGGGGAGUAUGUGGUUAAAUUGGAUGAUACGCGAGGAACCUUACCUGGGCUAAAUGCUGCUGACAGCGCAAGAAAUUGCGUCUUCCUUCGGGACAGUGUACACGGUGCUGCAUGGCCGUCGUCAGCUCGUGCCGUGAGGUGUUGGGUUAAGUCCCACAACGAGCGCAACCCCUAUACCCUAGUUGCCAGCAUGUAACGAUGGGGACUCUAAGUAGACUGCCUGCGCAAGCAGUGAGGAAGGAGGGGACGAGGUCAGGUCAUCAUGGCCCUUACGCCCAGGGCUACACACGUACUACAAUGGCGUGUACAAUGGGAAGCUACCUGGCAACAGGAUGCAAAUCUCAAAAGCACGUCUCAGUUCGGAUUGAGGUCUGCAACUCGACCUCAUGAAGUUGGAAUCGCUAGUAAUCGCGCAUCAGCAAUGGCGCGGUGAAUACGUUCCCGGACCUUGUACACACCGCCCGUCAAGUCAUGGAAGUUGGUAGGACCUGAAGACAGUGACCGUUACAGGAGCUGUUUAGGGUUAGACCAGUAACUAGGGCUAAGUCGUAACAAGGUA